GAAAUGCGAUAAGUAAUGUGAAUUGCAGAAUUCAGUGAAUCAUCGAAUCGUUGAACGCACCUUGCGCUCCUUGGUAUUCCUUGGAGCAUGCCUGUUUGAGUAUCAUGAAAUCUUCAAAGUAAAUCUUUUGUUAACUCAAUUGGUUUCUACUUUGGUAUUGGAGGUCUUUGCAGCUUCACACCUGCUCCUCUUUGUUCAUUAGCUGGAUCUCAGUGUUAUGCUUGGUUCCACUCGGCGUGAUAAGUUAUCUAUCGCUGAGGACACUGUAAAAGGUGGCCAAGGUAAAUGCAGAUGAACCGCUUCUAAUAGUCCAUUGACUUGGACAAUACUUUUAUGAUCUGAUCUCAAAUCAGGUAGGACUACCCGCUGAACUUAAGC
rnacentral:misc_RNA from 1 species